rnacentral:rRNA from 1 species
AUGCCAUCGGCAGGAAAUGGACAAUGGGCCUUGGUGCGAUCAUCUUCCAGACCGGUGCUGUGCAGCCAUCAUGACAUUCGCUCCUUCCUUCACCGUGCUCAUGAUAGGGAGGCUUCUCGCCGGGGUGGGCAUCGGCUUUGGCCGCGGUCUACAUUGCCGAGAUCUCCCCCGCGGCUGCCCGGGGGACUCUCACAUCCCUCCCUGAGAUCUGCAUCAACUUGGGGAUCCUCCUCGGCUACGUUUCCAAUUAUGCUUUCUCGGGCCUUUCCGAGCACAUCAGUUGGAGGGUUAUGCUUGGUGUCGGCACGUAUCCUCCCAUCUGUCUUCAUCGGUGUCGCGCUUUUUGUGAUCCCGGAGUCCCCUAGUUGGCUGAUGAUGGAGAAGAGAGUUCCAGAGGCAAGGGCGGUGUUGCUGCAGAUAAGUGAAUCUGAAGCUGAGGUUGAAGAAAGGCUGGCUGAGAUUGAAGAGGCUGCAAAUAUCAUGAAGUCGGUUAAUUCUGAGGACAAGGCGGUGUGGAGGGAGCUGCUGAACCCUUCUCCGGCCGUUCGUCGGAUGCUGUAUGCUGGCUGUGGUAUUCAGCUGUUCCAGCAGAUCACUGGAAUUGAUGCUACUGUCUAUUACAGCCCAACAAUUUUCAGGGAUGCUGGAAUCAAGUCCGACCAGGAGCUUCUUGCAGCAACGGUUGCCGUUGGAUCUACUAAGACGAUUUUCAUACUGGUUGCCAUUUUCCUCAUUGAUAAAGUUGGGCGCAAACCGCUUCUUUAUGUCAGCACCAUUGGCAUGACGGUCUGCUUAUUCGCCUUGGGGACUGCACUUACAUUGUGA